AACCUUACCAAGGUUUGACAUCCCUCGCAAAGCUAUAGAAAUAUAGUAGAGGUUAUCGAGGUGACAGGUGGUGCAUGGCUGUCGUCAGCUCGUGUCUUGAGAUGUUUGGUUAAGUCCCGCAACGAGCGCAACCCCACUCUUUAGUUACUUGUCUAAAGAGACUGCACAGUAAUGUAGAGGAAGGAUGGGAUCACGUCAAGUCAUCAUGCCCCUUAUGCCUUGGGCUGCAAACGUGCUACAAUGGCGAACACAAUGUGUUGCAAACCAGCGAUGGUAAGCUAAUCACCAAAUUUCGUCUCAGUUCGGAUAGGAGGCUGCAAUUCGCCUCC
rnacentral:rRNA from 1 species